CCCCCCCCCAAGUGAUACAUGGCACACAUUCUGCGGGUGGUGAGAACCCCUUUGGCAUAGAACAAAGAAACAGGUGGUGCUUGUAAGUAGAGGAGCAGUACUACGAGAUGCAAUGAGAGCGACGGCUAAGCCAUGCGUCUAGUCGUCCCCGAUAGAGUUCUAGGGUAUGAGCACGACAUUGAGGCCGUGCUCCUGAACCUGCGAGAAAGUUUCCUUGGGGCUAGUCAUGUGGGGGAGCGGGUGAGGAAAGGCACUCCGUACCAAGCCACAUGGGAAGUCGGUUCCAGAAGGAAGAUAUUUUUCCCGUCUACGACAUCUAUGCUGGUAGUAGAUUGAUAGGUAGGAAGGGAGCGACCAAAGGAAGCUCUAGGGACCCCUCCCUACCCAAUAGAGGAGGCUCCCGCUGACAGGAGGGGGCACCCAUCUAGCUCCGCCCAAACCUAGGAAGCCCAUGCGAGGGGUGGCGGAGCUCAGAUCUUCUUCAGCAAGAGACAAUCAUUCCAAGUGGAUAGAUCACACACCACAAGCCUUCCUUCCCUCUUGGACUGACAUAUUCGGUCCCAAGACACCAAAUACUGAACAUCGAAGCGUGUUCAACCGCAUUCCAGANN
rnacentral:lncRNA from 1 species